GGCCCAAUGGUCUAGUAGUAUGAUUCGCGCUUCGGGAGUUUACCGGUCGGAAGACCACGUAUGCGCGAGGUCCCGGGUUCAAUUCCCGGUUGGGCCC